rnacentral:rRNA from 1 species
UACCAGCACCCCGAGUGGUCGGGACGAUUAUUGGGCCUAAAGCAUCCGUAGCCGGUCUUGCAAGUCUUCCGUUAAAUCCACCUGCUUAACAGAUGGGCUGCGGAAGAUACUACAAGACUAGGAGGCGGGAGAGGCAAGCGGUACUCAGUGGGUAGGGGUAAAAUCCGUUGAUCCAUUGAAGACCACCAGUGGCGAAGGCGGCUUGCCAGAACGCACUCGACGGUGAGGGAUGAAAGCUGGGGGGAGCAAACCAGG